rnacentral:rRNA from 1 species
UACGUAGGGCGCAAGCGUUAUCCGGAAUUAUUGGGCGUAAAGAGCUCGUAGGCGGUUUGUCGCGUCUGCCGUGAAAGUCCGGGGCUCAACUCCGGAUCUGCGGUGGGUACGGGCAGACUAGAGUGAUGUAGGGGAGACUGGAAUUCCUGGUGUAGCGGUGAAAUGCGCAGAUAUCAGGAGGAACACCGAUGGCGAAGGCAGGUCUCUGGGCAUUAACUGACGCUGAGGCACGAAGCCAGGGGAGCAAACGGG